UACGUAGGUGGCAAGCGUUGUCCGGAUUUACUGGGCGUAAAGAGCGCGCAGGCGGUCGAUCAAGUCGCGUGUGAAAGCCCCCGGCUCAACUGGGGAGGGUCACGCGAUACUGAUCGACUCGAAGGCAGGAGAGGGUAGUGGAAUUCCCGGUGUAGUGGUGAAAUGCGUAGAUAUCUGGAGGAAUACCGGUGGCGAAGGCGGCAUCCUGGACCAUUACUGACGCUGAGGCGCGAAAGCUAGGGGAGCAAACGGG
rnacentral:rRNA from 1 species